rnacentral:rRNA from 1 species
AGCGAACGCUGGCGGCAGGCCUAACACAUGCAAGUCGAGCGGGCCCUUCGGGGUCAGCGGCAGACGGGUGAGUAACACGUGGGAACGUACCCUUUGGUUCGGAAUAACGCUGGGAAACUAGCGCUAAUACCGGAUACGCUCUUUUGGGGAAAGGUUUGCUGCCGAAGGAUCGGCCCGCGUCGGAUUAGCUAGUUGGUGGGGUAAUGGCCUACCAAGGCGACGAUCAGUAGCUGGUCUGAGAGGAUGAUCAGCCACACUGGGACUGAGACACGGCCCAGACUCCUACGGGAGGCAGCAGUGGGGAAUAUUGGACAAUGGGCGCAAGCCUGAUCCAGCCAUGCCGCGUGAGUGAUGAAGGCCUUAGGGUUGUAAAGCUCUUUUGUCCGGGACGAUAAUGACGGUACCGGAAGAAUAAGCCCCGGCUAACUUCGUG